rnacentral:rRNA from 1 species
UGAACGCUGGCGGCAGGCCUAACACAUGCAAGUCGAACGGUAGCACAGAGGAGCUUGCUCCUUGGGUGACGAGUGGCGGACGGGUGAGUAAUGUCUGGGAAACUGCCUGAUGGAGGGGGAUAACUACUGGAAACGGUAGCUAAUACCGCAUAACGUCGCGAGACCAAAGUGGGGGACCUUCGGGCCUCACACCAUCGGAUGUGCCCAGGUGGGAUUAGCUAGUAGGUGGGGUAAUGGCUCACCUAGGCGACGAUCCCUAGCUGGUCUGAGAGGAUGACCAGCCACACUGGAACUGAGACACGGUCCAGACUCCUACGGGAGGCAGCAGUGGGGAAUAUUGCACAAUGGGCGCAAGCCUGAUGCAGCCAUGCCGCGUGUAUGAAGAAGGCCUUCGGGUUGUAAAGUACUUUCAGCGGGGAGGAAGGCGGUGAGGUUAAUAACCUCGCCGAUUGACGUUACCCGCAGAAGAAGCACCGGCUAACUCCGUGCCAGCAGCCGCGGUAAUACGGAGGGUGCAAGCGUUAAUCGGAAUUACUGGGCGUAAAGCGCACGCAGGCGGUCUGUUAAGUCAGAUGUGAAAUCCCCGGGCUUAACCUGGGAACUGCAUUUGAAACUGGCAGGCUUGAGUCUCGUAGAGGGGGGUAGAAUUCCAGGUGUAGCGGUGAAAUGCGUAGAGAUCUGGAGGAAUACCGGUGGCGAAGGCGGCCCCCUGGACGAAGACUGACGCUCAGGUGCGAAAGCGUGGGGGAGCAAACAGGAUUAGAUACCCUGGUAGUCCACGCCGUAAACGAUGUCGACUUGGAGGUUGUGCCCUUGAGGCGUGGCUUCCGGAGCUAACGCGUUAAGUCGACCGCCUGGGGAGUACGGCCGCAAGGUUAAAACUCAAAUGAAUUGACGGGGGCCCGCACAAGCGGUGGAGCAUGUGGUUUAAUUCGAUGCAACGCGAAGAACCUUACCUGGCCUUGACAUCCAGAGAACUUAGCAGAGAUGCUUUGGUGCCUUCGGGAACUCUGAGACAGGUGCUGCAUGGCUGUCGUCAGCUCGUGUUGUGAAAUGUUGGGUUAAGUCCCGCAACGAGCGCAACCCUUAUCCUUUGUUGCCAGCGGUUCGGCCGGGAACUCAAAGGAGACUGCCGGUGAUAAACCGGAGGAAGGUGGGGAUGACGUCAAGUCAUCAUGGCCCUUACGGCCAGGGCUACACACGUGCUACAAUGGCGCAUACAAAGAGAAGCGACCUCGCGAGAGCAAGCGGACCUCAUAAAGUGCGUCGUAGUCCGGAUUGGAGUCUGCAACUCGACUCCAUGAAGUCGGAAUCGCUAGUAAUCGUAGAUCAGAAUGCUACGGUGAAUACGUUCCCGGGCCUUGCACACACCGCC